UUCAAAAUGGCAGCCUACACAGAAAACUGGUGUGCGGUCCCAAAUGAUUGAAAUGACUGUGUAGAGAAGCAAGGGUUAUAUUUCUUUUUCAAUGUCCAAAAUAUCUAGAAAUGGAUUUGUGGAGGAAGCUAUAGCAGUAGUAUCAGAGGCUGGGCGGAGGAGGUUUCGAAAGUCCUAGCGUGUGAUUAAGGGUCUGCCAUUGUUCUUUAAUUCAGUCAAUUGGUGUAAUUAUUAUGAAACCUUACACCGAAAUAAAUAUAUAUAGAACAUA